UUGCAUUAGAAUUAGAAUCUAACUACACUAAAAUUACACCUUUAAAUAUUCUAUUAACAAUA
rnacentral:tRNA from 1 species